rfam:Pyrenochaeta sp. DS3sAY3a unplaced genomic scaffold IQ07scaffold_9, whole genome shotgun sequence.
GGUGAGAUGGCCGAGUGGUUAAGGCGAUGUGUUUAGGUAAGCAAUUGCAUACCCGAACCGCAUUCCGAAAGGGCGUGGGUUCGAAUCCCACUCUCAUCA